UGCCCCAUGGCUGAGUUGGUUACAGCGUCCGACUGUUAUCUCAUGCGCAAUCGGAAGGUCGUGAGUUCGAGCCUCACUGGGGCAG